rnacentral:rRNA from 1 species
UACGUAGGGUGCAAGCGUUAAUCGGAAUUACUGGGCGUAAAGCGUGCGCAGGCGGUUCGCUAAGACAGAUGUGAAAUCCCCGGGCUUAACCUGGGAACUGCAUUUGUGACUGGCGGGCUAGAGUAUGGCAGAGGGGGGGUAGAAUUCCACGUGUAGCAGUGAAAUGCGUAGAGAUGUGGAGGAAUACCGAUGGCGAAGGCAGCCCCCUGGGCCAAUACUGACGCUCAUGCACGAAAGCGUGGGGAGCAAACAGGAUUAGAGUACCCCGGUAAGCUCC